rnacentral:rRNA from 1 species
ACAAUGGGCGCAAGCCUGAUGCAGCGACGCCGCGUGCGGGAUGACGGCCUUCGGGUUGUAAACCGCUUUUGACUGGGAGCAAGCCCUUCGGGGUGAGUGUACCUUUCGAAUAAGCACCGGCUAACUACGUGCCAGCAGCCGCGGUAAUACGUAGGGUGCAAGCGUUAUCCGGAAUUAUUGGGCGUAAAGGGCUCGUAGGCGGUUCGUCGCGUCCGGUGUGAAAGUCCAUCGCUUAACGGUGGAUCCGCGCCGGGUACGGGCGGGCUUGAGUGCGGUAGGGGAGACUGGAAUUCCCGGUGUAACGGUGGAAUGUGUAGAUAUCGGGAAGAACACCAAUGGCGAAGGCAGGUCUCUGGGCCGUCACUGACGCUGAGGAGCGAAAGCGUG